GAUGAACGCUGGCGGCGUGCCUAAUACAUGCAAGUCGAGCGAACGGACGAGAAGCUUGCUUUUCUGAUGUUAGCGGCGGACGGGUGAGUAACACGUGGAUAACCUACCUAUAAGACUGGGAUAACUUCGGGAAACCGGAGCUAAUACCGGAUAAUAUUUUGAACCGCAUGGUUCAAAAGUGAAAGACGGUCUUGCUGUCACUUAUAGAUGGAUCCGCGCUGCAUUAGCUAGUUGGUAAGGUAACGGCUUACCAAGGCAACGAUGCAUAGCCGACCUGAGAGGGGGAUCGGCCACACGGGAACGGAGGCACGGUCCAGACUCCUACGGGAGGAAGCAGGGGGGAAUCUUCCGCAAGGGGCGAAAGCCGGACGGGGAAACGCCGCGGGGGUGAUGAAGGCCUUCGGAUCGUAAAACUUUUUUAUUAGGGAAGAAAAUAUGUGUAAGUAAAGGUGAACAUUUUGACGGUACCUAAGCAAAAAGCCACGGCUAACCACGU
rnacentral:rRNA from 1 species